rnacentral:rRNA from 1 species
UACGGAGGGUGCAAGCGUUAUCCGGAUUCACUGGGUUUAAAGGGUGCGUAGGUGGGCAGGUAAGUCAGUGGUGAAAUCUCCGAGCUUAACUCGGAAACUGCCGUUGAUACUAUUUGUCUUGAAUAUUGUGGAGGUAAGCGGAAUAUGUCAUGUAGCGGUGAGAUGCUUAGAUAUGACAUAGAACACCAAUUGCGAAGGCAGCUUACUACACAACGAUUGACGCUGAGGCACGAAAGCGUGGGGAUCAAACGGG